rnacentral:rRNA from 1 species
UGAGGAAUAUUGGGCAAUGCCCGCAAGGGUGACCCAGCAACGCCGCGUGGAGGAUGAAUGUCGUAAGAUUGUAAACUCCUGUUAGAGGGGAAGAAUAGUACCGGUUGUACCGGUAUAUGACUGUACCCUCAGAGAAAGCCCCGGCUCACUACGUGCCAGCAGCCGCGGUAAUACGUAGGGGGCAAGCGUUGUCCGGAUUUACUGGGGGUAAAGGGCGCGCAGGCGGGAUAAAAAGUCAGUGGUGAAAUCCUACAGCUUAACUGUAGAACUGCCUUUGAUACUUUUAUGCUUGCGUUCGGGAGAGAGAGACGGAAUUCCAGGUGUAGUGGUGAAAUACGUAGAUAUCUGGAAGAACACCAGUUGCGAAGGCGGUCUCUUGGUCCGACACUGACGCUGAGGCGCGAAAGCGUGGGGAGCAAACA